GCUGCCCAAGUUUUCCAAUGACCUGAGUAAAACCUGAAAGUAUGGCGGAGCUGCUUACUGUGAAGUCUGAGAGGCCACAAACUUUAAAUCAUCAGCAACUAAAGCAAAUGCCUCAACUUCUGAGAGUGCUUGUGCAGUUCGGGUUGAGAUAGGUAAGUUAGUUGAUGAAUGAGGGUCAAGAGCCCAAAUAAGUAGCUCCUCUCCACAAAAAUCUCCAGCUUUUAGAUACUCGAGUUAAAAAAACCAGUCCUCCCUCCAUUAGUGGUUACAGAAUGUAGUUUGCCCCUCAUUACAAGCAACAUCACAUCAACUGGAUCACCUUCACGAACAAUGAAGCUGUCCUCGGUGUAGAGCACUGGUUUGAGUCGGUCGCAUAGUGCAUCCAAGAGUUGUUCAUCCAUUUUUGCAAACAUUGGCACCUUGAAAUAUUCNGUAUGGGUCAGAAGCUUGUUCAAGGAAUUAGGGGUGAUGCUGGUAGAACCUGCAUUGAUACACUGUGACAGCAAGUCAGCUCUUCAAAUAGCUGCUAAUCCAGUUUUUCAUGAGCGCACUAAACACAUCGAGAUCGAUUGUCACUUCAUUCGUGAGAAGAUCCAGCAGGGACUUAUCAAGACCAUCUAUCUCCACACUAAAGACCAACUAGUUGACAUGCUCAUCAAAGCUCUUGGGAGGACACAGCAUGAGUUCUUAUUGCACAAGCUUGGAUUAUUGAAUCUCUUCAAUACAUCUAGCUUGAGGGGGAGUAUUAGAAGAUUGAGUUAGUUGUUAGUUAUUGUAAUUAGUUAGUUAUUAAUCAUUUAGUUAAUUACAAUUAGAGAUAGUGAUUAUAUGAGGUAAGUUCUAUGGCUUUCCUCCGAUACUGAUUCUUUUCAAUGCUCAAUAAAGAAUUUAUGCAUAUAUUGUGCACUCUGAUGAUCCGGGGGCUCAAGUUAAAUGGCUUAUUCCCAGUCACAGCAUUGGCAACUCAGUUGAAGAUAGGGGAAGCAUUAGGCGGACAUCAAGUGUAACUCUGCUGCACCAAAGCCAGUCACAAUGGAUGAUAUUGUUUGUUAGCUCAUUCUAUCUGGUGGAUAGCAUUUUAAACUAAUUGGUUGACUCUACCAAGCAAUCACCAUUAGCCUUGAUCUACACUCAAAAGAAUCAAAAAGGAACUUUGCAUGUGUGGAUGAGGAGGAUUGCAGUAAGUUGAUAUUAACAAUCAACAUGAAAUCAAUCAAUUUUAAGGAAAUCUUACAACAGAGAAUACAUGGUAGAAGCAUCAUUUCUUUUGUACAAAUUUAUUCCGACAAGCCUUAGGCUUGAAGAAAUCGCCUAUAAGUGUUAUUAUACACAACAAACAUGGCCAAAAAUGCAACUCAAUCAUUGAUCAGAAAUUAUGUUGACUAAGGCCAGUUAUUUAUCUUCAGCAGUAAAACCUGGCUCUGUUGGUUUCUGAAGCAUAAUGGGUGAUAUCCUGUCUGGCACCCUUGCUUUGUUUGCAGUAUUGCACCGCAAAGCACGAAGUGCGUUAGCGGCAAAUCUUGAUGCAUAGAUGGUAGCACUAAAACUUGGUGAAGUGGAAUCUUCCUUUGCUAAUGCAUCUUGCAACCUGCUUUCUUCUACACGAAGAGACUCUUCUACUUUUUUCCUGCAAUAAUUGCGCCAUGCUGCUUGUAUGAAGCAAGCUGCCCAAGUUUUCCAAUGACCUGAGUAAAACCUGAAAGUAUGGCGGAGCUGCUUACUGUGAAGUCUGAGAGGCCACAAACUUUAAAUCAUCAGCAACUAAAGCAAAUGCCUCAACUUCUGAGAGUGCUUGUGCAGUUCGGGUUGAGAUAGGUAAGUUAGUUGAUGAAUGAGGGUCAAGAGCCCAAAUAAGUAGCUCCUCUCCACAAAAAUCUCCAGCUUUUAGAUACUCGAGUUAAAAAAACCAGUCCUCCCUCCAUUAGUGGUUACAGAAUGUAGUUUGCCCCUCAUUACAA
rnacentral:lncRNA from 1 species